UUAAACUGGGGGUCAAUACCGGAUAGGACCACGGGAUGCAUGUCUUGUGGUGGAAAGCGCUUUAGCGGUGUGGGAUGAGCCCGCGGCCUAUCAGCUUGUUGGUGGGGUGACGGCCUACCAAGGCGACGACGGGUAGCCGGCCUGAGAGGGUGUCCGGCCACACUGGGACUGAGAUACGGCCCAGACUCCUACGGGAGGCAGCAGUGGGGAAUAUUGCACAAUGGGCGCAAGCCUGAUGCAGCGACGCCGCGUGGGGGAUGACGGCCUUCGGGUUGUAAACCUCUUUCACCAUCGACGAAGGUCCGGGUUCUCUCGGAUUGACGGUAGGUGGAGAAGAAGCACCGGCCAACUACGUGCCAGCAGCCGCGGUAAUACGUAGGGUGCGAGCGUUGUCCGGAAUUACUGGGCGUAAAGAGCUCGUAGGUGGUUUGUCGCGUUGUUCGUGAAAUCUCACGGCUUAACUGUGAGCGUGCGGGCGAUACGGGCAGACUAGAGUACUGCAGGG
rnacentral:rRNA from 1 species